rnacentral:pre_miRNA from 1 species
UUAGUGGGAUACAAUUUGCUCAGUUUGUUGUUUAGUGUCAAGCGAUCAACACUGGGCAAAGUGUGUCUCAUUAA